UUCCUCUCCUCCUCUGAAGCCCUUCCUCGGCCUCCCCCUACAUGUCCGUUCCCCUUGGGGUUUCAUCCUUGGCCCUCUUGACCUCUCUCCUUCUCCCCUCUCCCCCCACAUCCUGCCCAUCUCAUCCAGCCUGGGUCUUAACUGCUAUGAGAAGACAAUGACUCCGAUGUCCGGGGAGUUUGUCACAUCUUCACGUGGACGACAAAGCAGGAUAAGGCUCCAUUUCUGUCUGGAUUCUAGUCUGAGGCACGGAGAAGUCUCAUGCUUCAAAAAUGCAUGCGAAAAUGCAGCAAGCGUGCAUUUCACCCCCGGCGGAACCUCCUGAGUUACCGCGAGUGAUUGCACACGAGGAGGAGGUGCUGGGGAGAAGCGGCGUCGUCCUGUCACAGGCUGUGAACCAACGUGGCUCCCUGCCCUGCACCAGGCGCCCUGGGAACCACCCCCCCCAUCCUUCCAUCCUUCGCUCCUGCUCCACACCGCCCCCUGGUGCCGGCCGCCUCUCCUCCAGCUCCAUCCUCAGCAUCUCAGGCCACCCCUGAGAGCAGCAGCGGCCACAGGUGUCCCGAGGUCCUUGGAGACGGUUGUGCACACACGACUGGCUCAGGCACCCCCCUGUCCCUGUGUGUCUUUGAAUGUGUUUCAGGGCGUCUCUGAGCCCUUGGAACGGGUGUGUGUGAAAACUUAUGACUUCCAAAACGAUAUGUGUGAAUGUCACGGAUUUCAAAAGUUCUCAGAGGAAGUUCUAAACCUCCCCAAAAGUAAAGAACCUCUUAGAUCCUCGAGGGGGCUCUAGACGGCAGGGAGAUCUCACCUUAAGAAAGACACCCAUUUUCAAACAGCUGCAUCGGGUUAUAGCCUGUGUGUCACACAGCACUGCUGUCAGAUCGGCUGCGUUUGCUCCAGCCCUGGAACGGACCAGAGGACCUCGUGUGAAGGAGGCAUGGGAGCAGGGAG
ensembl:lncRNA